GUGACAAAGUCAGGGGAGACUGAUGGGGACAGGUGAGAGUGACGGAGACAGGUGAGACUGACAGAGACAGGUGAGACUGACAGAGAUAGGUGAGACUGACGGAGACAGGUGAGAAUGACAAAGUCAGGGGAGACUGAUGGGGACAGGUGAGAGUGACGGAGACAGGUGAGAGUAAUGGAGACAGGUGAGAGUGAUGGAGUCAGGUGAGACUGACGGGGACAGGUGAGACUGACGGAGACAGGUGAGAGUGACAAAGUCAGGUGAGACUGACGGGGACAGGUGAGACUGACGGGGACAGGUGAGAGUGACGGAGUCAGGUGAGACUGAUGGGGACAGGUGAGACUGACGGAGACAGGUGAGAGUGACAAAGUCAGGUGAGACUGACGGAGACAGGUGAGAGUGAUGGAGUCAGGUGAGACUGAUGGGGACAGGUGAGACUGACAGAGACAGGUGAGACUGACAGAGAUAGGUGAGACUGACGGAGACAGGUGAGAGUGACAAAGUCAGGGGAGACUGAUGGGGACAGGUGAGAGUGACGGAGACAGGUGAGACUGACAGAGACAGGUGAGAGUGAUGGAGUCAGGUGAGACUGAUGGGGACAGGUGAGACUGACGGAGACAGGUGAGAGUGACAAAGUCAGGUGAGACUGACGGAGACAGGUGAGACGACGGAGUAAGGUGAGACUGAUGGAGAGAGGUGAGACUGACAGGGACAGGUGAGAGUGAUGGAGACAAGUGAGACUGACGGAGUCGGGUGAGAGUGACAGAGACAG